rnacentral:snRNA from 1 species
GUGCUUGCUUUGACAGCACAUAUACUAAAAUUGGAACAAUACGGAGAAGAAUGACAUGGCCCCUGGGUAAGAAUGACAUUCAAAUUUGUGAAGUGGGCUUCUGGAAU